UUUAACAAAAAUCUAUUUAUCAUCUAACUAAAGGUUAAACUACAUAACUCGCAUAAACUUCACAGAUAGCAUAAUACAUAUGUUCUAAUGUGAUGAGCUCAAAUUCACGAAUUGGGAAAUUUUUUGUUUACUAUAAAAUCAAGAAUGAUACUGAUUUUGUUAGAAUGAAAGUACACCACCUCUGAGCAAUUCAUGGAGUGAAUCUCAAAUUACAAAUUUCCGUCCGUUACUGGCUCAGCCUCAACCUUUAUCAUAGUUGCAAUGUACUCAGCAUAUUUGGCAAUCGACAACAACCAGCUCAAUAAAACCUUUGCUUUAAUUUCUGCACGGUUUUCGAGAUUCUCAAAUGCCCUCCACUUGAACCGCUGAGCAGUUCGUUGAGAACUUCAGGAAUUCUAACCUUCGGAACAAUCAGGAGGUCAAAAGUAUAACAAAAGUUUUGGAGAUAAAAAUCUAAACAUGGCUCAAGGUCCAUUCAAUCAAGGAAAUGACGCUACAAUGUAUGAGGGCGAGAUAAAUAUAAUUAUAGUGGGAGAUUUAAUAAUUUUAACAGACCCACAAAUCGGGCAAUUUUCUGAGACCACAAACGACAGGCAUUUUUAAAUUCCGAAAUAUUUAUGAACUGGAGAAAUACAUACAACAGAGCUUCUGAGAGGAGCAAGCAUGGAAAUAAGUUUUAAUUUCUUUUCAUAAUUAAUUAUUUAAAUAUAUUUUUGUUACACUCC